rnacentral:rRNA from 1 species
GGGUCCUAAGUCGUCAGGAGGACUACACCCUUUGUGACAUACCUAUAACUGUUGCUUCGGCGGGUAGGGUCUCCGUGACCCUCCCGGCCUCCCGCCCCCGGGCGGGUCGGCGCCCGCCGGAGGAUAACCAAACUCUGAUUUAACGACGUUUCUUCUGAGUGGUACAAGCAAAUAAUCAAAACUUUUAACAACGGAUCUCUUGGUUCUGGCAUCGAUGAAGAACGCAGCGAAAUGCGAUAAGUAAUGUGAAUUGCAGAAUUCAGUGAAUCAUCGAAUCUUUGAACGCACAUUGCGCCCGCCAGCAUUCUGGCGGGCAUGCCUGUUCGAGCGUCAUUUCAACCCUCAAGCUCUGCUUGGUGUUGGGGCCCUACAGCUGAUGUAGGCCCUCAAAGGUAGUGGCGGACCCUCCCGGAGCCUCCUUUGCGUAGUAACUUUACGUCUCGCACUGGGAUCCGGAGGGACUCUUGCCGUAAAACCCCCAAUUUUCCAAAGGUUGACCUCGGAUCAGGUAGGAAUACCCGCUGAACCUUAAGCAUAUCAAAA